AGAAGAAGACAAUGCCCGACCUUGUGGUCAAAUGGCUACCAUAACGUCCUUUGUGUCUCGCCGGCGGCACCUCCCUCACUAUUUUUAGUGAAGAGAGGCUUCGAGUGGUGAUGGUGGUGGGGGCAAGAGUAGGAACCCGUUUACUUGUCCAUUUUUUUCAGCGUGA
ensembl:ncRNA T22B7.16 ncRNA